GUGAGAGAGAAAAUGUCCGCGCAGGCGGAGCGGUGAUUCUGCAGGAGAGCGCGAGCUCGGGUUAAACAACUAUACAUUACUGGAAAAAGAGAGAGAGAGCGCGCGAGAGAGAGAGACGGCCUUUACCACACCUUAAACACCGCACUUUAAUCUAAACAGAAUUGGAUGCUAUUUCCACCAAAGACAUUAACAUAGAAGUAACACAGGGAAAUCUCAAGAAGCGAACGGGCAUUUGAUGGAAGGAAGAGUAUAGUACGGCUGAAGGACGAUAGGGAAGAGGGGGCUGGUGUAAAGUGCCAGAACAUAUCGAGUCCAGUUUCUGCCAGCCUCAGUCUGCCAACCCAUCAGCAGCACACUCUGCGCUAUCAGCAAUGCCAACAGGGUCCGAGCCAGCGGCCCGCCCCGACCCCCGCUCCGCUAUCACCCGCCACAUCUCCGCCAGCUCUUGCGCACGCAGCUGCUGAAGCGUGGGCGCCGGUCCACUGUCCUGCCCGCAGUCCUGGGAACUCAAGUGCAGCUUACGUCGUCCAGCGAGCCAGGAAAGCUAACAGAGCGGCUUGUCCUGCACUGCACCAAAGCCCCCCACUCAGGUCUCCCACACUUCCACUUCACUCUCUGACUUUCUGCUUAGGAGGAGUUUGGGAACAGUGGCUUUGUUUAGAAAUUCAACUUCGUUUAAGGAAAAUGUAUUUAUUUUCAACGUAUCUUAAUAUUUUCAGAGCAUCUACUUGCUAUAAAAAGCAGCUUUUAAAUAAUUAUGACAAUUUUCUCUUUCAAACUGUUGUUAAAAACUCAAUUUGAAACUCUUUUGGUCUUUUUAAAGUUGCUUUUAAACACCUGAAAGGUUUGAGUGCUGACAUCACAAGGGGGAAAUAAUGUGCCACCUACUUGGCUUUUAUUUUAGUGCACAAUUACUGUUCGUUUACCUGAGUGUAACAUAUUGAGCAUAUAAUUUCAUAUAAUUAACAUAUAAAUUCACCAUUUGUGAUGUCGCAAAAAAUUACACGUUUACCUAUAUCUGAGUAUUCAGGCUAAAGCAGUUUAGCCCUGCCUAUUUGGCUCAUGGCUUUUUAGCACCACCCAUUUGGCCCACGGACAUUUUGACAUCAGAUCCACCUUUAUAAGCAGUGUUUCAGCCUAAACUACUUUUUAGGCUCAAUAAAGGGCAGCCAGUCAGAACAGAGCUC
ensembl:lncRNA